UGGGGAAUCUUCCGCAAUGGACGAAAGUCUGACGGAGCAACGCCGCGUGAGUGAAGAAGGUUUUCGGAUCGUAAAACUCUGUCUUUUGGGGCGAACGUGAGUAUGGUGAACAAUCAUAGUCAGUGACGGUACCAAAGGAGGAAGCCACGGCUAACUACGUGCCAGCAGCCGCGGUAAUCGUAGGUGGCAAGCGUUGUCCGGAAUUAUUGGGCGUAAAGAGCGCGUAGGCGGGAUAGUCAGUCUGUUGUAAAAGUGCGGGGCUCAACCCCGUGAUCGCAAUGGAAACAGCUAUUCUUGAGUGCAGGAGAGGAAAGUGGAAUUCCCAGUGUAGCGGUGAAAUGCGUAGAUAUUGGGAGGAACACCAGUGGCGAAGGCGACUUUCUGGACUGUGUCUGACGCUGAGGCGCGAAAGCCA
rnacentral:rRNA from 1 species